rnacentral:rRNA from 1 species
UACGGAGGGGACUAGCGUUGUUCGGAAUUACUGGGCGUAAAGCGCACGUAGGCGGAUUUGUAAGUCAGGGGGUGAAAUCCCGAGGCUCAACCUCGGAACUGCCUUUGAUACUGCAAAUCUCGAGUCCGGAAGAGGUGAGUGGAAUUCCUAGUGUAGAGGUGAAAUUCGUAGAUAGUGGGGAGGAACACCGGUGGCGAAGGCGGCCACCUGGACGGAUACUGACGCUGAGACGCGAAAGCGUGGGGAGCAAACAGG